rnacentral:sRNA from 12 species
GUCCUAUAUAGAUGUAUCAACGCAAGACAGUUGAGCAUCUCCCUUUAGGAUGUUGUUUACCCAGAAGCUUCAGCAACAAUCUUUGUUGUGUGGCUCAAGUCGAAAUAGAGUGAGUUGAAGUGGAAUAGGUUAACCGUAAGACCUUGAGUUGAAAAACUCUAAAAUUGACCUAGAGAUACAAUUUUGUAUUUCCUAGUUACGGUAAU